GUGUUAUGGUGACUCUGAAACUGGAUAGGUAAUUGUCAUUGAGUCUUUGCUAUAUAUGUUGGCCAUAUAUUAAUUCUGAACGUAUUAUAUGGAUGUUUUUGAUGACAAUUGAUUUUCUGAUAUAUGCAGUGAUGAGACUGUGACUUUAAGCUUCUUCGACUCUCAGGCUGUUGCUUUCCAUAUACAGCUUGAGGCUAUGAGGGUUAAUCCAAAGGUCAUGGUCGUCACUAGCAUAAAUCCCAAGAUUGUCGGAGGUGUUGAAUUAUGUGGUAUCAUUUAAUGUCGUAUCACUUUAGUCUUGACAAAUUUAUUAAUCUACGUAGGUCGUCUGUUUCUUAACGCUACGUCGGGAACACACGUGUAUUUCGAUAAGAAGACUGGAGCAGGGGCUGCUCUAUUCUACAGGUAUGAUUGUCGUUAAUUAAUUUGUGUUUGUGUGUUUGGUUGUUACUUGCCUAAUCAUUAUGCUCUGUGUAGGCUGGCCGCCAGAGAUACUGGUCUGCCGUCGGCCGCUCCACUGCUAAAUUCAUAUGCGAAGGUGGAGAAUAUGACCAUCGCUGACCUCAACAGUUUCAUCGUUUCUGCUGCAUCGCAGGUAUAAUAUCUGUUGGUUUUGUUUUGUAUUAUUUUGUUUGUAGUGUCAGUGUUCGCUUUUCAUGUGAGUCUUGAUUAUAUGUUACAGGAGAUUGAUUUUCUGUGCACUGGGAGAGUUGUCCGGAUUGACACAGAUAAGGGGUGGUGUUAUGUUGCUUGCUCAAAAUGCAGUAAAAAAUUGCAGCGGACUGAGUCUGCAUUCACGUGUGGAGUAUGCAACAAUCCACAAGCUGUUGGGGCCCUACGGUAAGUAUCGCGUCUUAUAUAUGAGGAUUUACACGCCUGCUGGUGACUUGACCUCACCUUUUACCAUCUUCAUAUAGCUAUCGUGUGGAGAUGGCAAUAUCUGAUGAUACUGCGGAAGGAACAUUCGUAUGGUUCGAUGGUGUAUUAACGAAGCUGCAUAGUAUCCGAGCAAGUGAAGCUGCACAGAUGCUGGUAUGAAUCUAGACUUUUUACAUUCGUGAUGUCAAACGCUGAGCGAAAUCUUACUUCUCAUUUUUUUUUUUUUACAAGGCUGAAGACGGUGUGAACCCUGAGGACGCUAGGUUACCCCCGUUCAUUGCAGACAUGGAAGGAAAAACGUACACUUUCCAAGUGAGGGUCACUGCGUUUAACUUUACCGAGCAUCACAAGACAUUCACGAUAACACGUAUUGCUGAGGAUCAUGGUCGUCUGCCAGUAGAUGACGUCGUGAACAAUGUAAGUUACGUGUGUAUCGUGAUGUUCAAGUAGCUCCUUGCUGAUUGCAUAUACGUUUUUACAUAAUGUACAGGGAGAUGAUGACGACGACGAUGGUGAUGAUGCCAGCCCGAACAUCGAGCCAUCAUCUGCUGCAGGUGAUCAAGGUGGAACCAGUAAGGCGCGUAAGAAGACUGGCGCAGGUUCGAACCUCCCCCUCAGAUUAACCCCUACGCCGGGCCACCCGGGCCCACCCUGCUACUUCUGGGGUGGAAAUGACGUGGCUGCUGCGGGCCUCGAGGGAUGUCUGGGCCCCGGCCUGGGACCCUCGGUUAACCGUGGUGAAGAAAAAAAGACUGGCGCAGGUGCGUCAAAGGUGGUGAAGAAAGCACGUGCUGGUUGAGAUAUAUCAACAAUUAAUAAUGUUCAGACUAUCGUUUACGUAAUGUUUAUGCAUGUUUAUUUGACUUCGCAAAUUUGGAUGUUUCUGUUUUGGAUAUUCCCCAUUAUAUGGGCCCUUUAAUUUUAACGGCAUGCAUUUCGGUUCGGUUUUUUAUUAUGAGGUGUUAAUUUCCGGGUAGUCUAAUAUUAUUUAUGUUAACCUUCCGGUUAGUCUAUAGUUAUUUAUAUUAAAUUUUUAUGUUACAUUGUAUGUGUUAAAAAAAUAUAUAUAGUAUUUUCUAUCAUUAGUUACGUAACUAUAUAGUAAGCUUUUGUGUUUCCCAUGCGCGGACAUAUGUCUUUAUAAUGUCGAGUAAAUCAAAAUUAAUAUUUAAAUUGAAUUCACAAAUUUGGAUGUUUCUGUAUUAGUUAGUCCGGUAUUAACUUAGUAUUGUCGUGUUCAUCAUUCUGGUUUAUAUUUUAGGUUCAUUAAUUGUUAUUUAGUUUUGAUUUUUAUACUGGUCUCGGUGCAGAUGUGCCAGGGUCAAAGCCUGAACCAAGUUGCUUUAUAUCUUCCUCGCCCUGUUUUUACUCAUGGUCAGUUGUACGUUGCCAUGUCUCGAGUAACAACUCCGAAUGGGCUUAGGAUUUUAGACGAGACUUCCGAUAUGAACGGUGAAGAUGGAGUUACUAAUAUUGUAUGCAAAGAAAUCUUUAAAGACGUCUAAGUGACCGAGGUUAGAGCUACACAUUUACUUUAUACUUUUUAUAUACCCCAAUCGGUUGGCAUUGACUAACUGUCGUUAUUUUCAUUGCAUAUUGGACGACCCAUUCCUCUCAGUGAUCGGAGAAACUCAGCGUAAGCAUCGAAUUGGACAAGUUCUUCUGCUACACCGAACUUAUUUUUAAAAAUUUUAACAACAGUUUAUUCUCAGGACAUGCAGUCAUUUAGUUGGUGACCUUAUUACACUUACUCAAAACAAUCUGAUUUUUAAAAUUUACUCUAUCCUCUGUUUUGGGUUUAUACACUUAAAAUACUUUUCAAUUAAAAUACUCAAACACAAGUAACAUAUAAGUAUCUAAUAUAUAAAUAUAUAUAUUUCCUCACGAGACAAAGCAACUGGUAUGUUGCAUAGAUCAUCAAACAAUUCACUCCAACGAAACAAUUAAAAUUAAAUUAUUCGAACGGUUUUAGAUUUGUACAACCGAAGCAAUAGCUACUGGUAUUGUCCAGACAUCCAUAUUCCUAAAUUCCAUAAAUCUACCAAUAACUUAACAACAUAUAACAAAAGCCAUACAAACCAUCAAACUCUCAUGCAUUCAUCCUUCCAGCAACAAAAAAACCAUGAGACAUAUGAACAACCAAUGUUAAAUAUACUAAUAUACUUAGCUUCAAGAUCGUAUUAUAAUGCACACCCCGCCCGUAGGGCGGGCCGAUCCUAGUCUUAUUAUAUAAAGAAGAGUGUUUCUCUGAGCAAGACACGUCAUCAAAUAGCUUCUUCUAAAUGCGACACGUGUCACCUAUAUUAAAACCUUACCGUUUCAUUUAAGUUUGUGUGCAACACAUGUGAGCUUCGUUUUGCAUUCAGGCCUAAUGUUUUACUCAAAGGAACAAGUCCGAUAAAAAAAACUUUACGUGUUUUAAAACGCGUCGUUUCAGAUUUUAGGGUUCAACACAUUUCUGAUCUCUGCCGUACGAGAGCUAAUUUCAACGAAAGCGAUGGUUCAUCUUCUUCCUAACAAUCUGAAAAGCAACCAGUUACAGAUGCAUCACCCACAAUCUACCUUCAAUGCGAGCUUCACUCCUGCAAGGCGGUGUAUCUGCUUGUAUAAAAAGAUUGACCCGCCUUUAUCAAGCUUAAGAGACUGAUGACGCAUCUGUGGAUGCUAAAGGAGAGUCAUCCAUUGGAUGGCAAAGUGAAAACCAUGCGUGAUGUACUGAUGUUCUUCCACUUCUUGCUUUUGCCUCUAUCCACAAAAUGAAAUCAAAGUGAGAACUUUUCAGAUUCAUUCACAUACAUGAACAAAAAUCUCAGACC